rnacentral:rRNA from 1 species
AUUGAACGCUGGCGGCAUGCCUUACACAUGCAAGUCGAACGGUAACAGGUCUUCGGAUGCUGACGAGUGGCGAACGGGUGAGUAAUACAUCGGAACGUGCCCGAUCGUGGGGGAUAACGAAGCGAAAGCUUUGCUAAUACCGCAUAAGAUCUACGGAUGAAAGCAGGGGACCGCAAGGCCUUGCGCGAACGGAGCGGCCGAUGGCAGAUUAGGUAGUUGGUGGGAUAAAAGCUUACCAAGCCGACGAUCUGUAGCUGGUCUGAGAGGACGACCGGCCAGACUGGGACUGAGACACGGCCCAGGCUCCUACGGGAGGCAGCAGUGGGGAAUUUUGGACAAUGGGCGAAAGCCUGAUCCAGCCAUGCCGCGUGCAGGAUGAAGGCCUUCGGGUUGUAAACUGCUUUUGUACGGAACGAAAAGACUCUUUCUAAUAAAGAGGGUCCAUGACGGUACCGUAAGAAUAAGCACCGGCUAACUACGUGCCAGCAGCCGCGGUAACAC